rnacentral:rRNA from 1 species
UACGUAGAUGGCGAGCGUUAUCCGGAAUGACUGGGCGUAAAGGGUGCGUAGGCGGUCUUAUAAGUCAGAUGUGAAAAUCCCGAGCUUAACUUGGGAACUGCAUUUGAAACUAUAUGACUUGAGUGCAGGAGAGGAAAGUGGAAUUCCUAGUGUAGCGGUGAAAUGCGUAGAUAUUAGGAGGAACACCAGUGGCGAAGGCGACUUUCUGGACUGUAACUGACGCUGAGGCACGAAAGCGUGGGGAGCGAACAGG